rnacentral:rRNA from 1 species
CAAAGAAAGGCUCUCUCAUCGUUGAUCCACCUUGUUGGAUGGAAUAUUUGGAAAGAAAGGAACGCGCGCGUCUUUAGAAAUAAAGCGGCACCGGUGGCCGUGAUUGUUAACCUUAUUAAGGAGGAGGCAGCGCUUUGGGCUAUUGCGGGUGCCAAGCAUUUGUGUAAUGUAAUGCCGCGAGAGUAA